rnacentral:lncRNA from 1 species
CAAUCCCACAACCUGAAUAAUAGCCUGUGGCCAACAGAAUUCUGUGUCUUUUCUUCCAAGUAAAGCCGGCUACUGGGCAAAUUCCAACUCGGGUGAUCCCAUUGUUUUCAACAUUAAUCAUUCUCAGAAAUAUUGAGUUUUCUAAAGUGUUUUGCCAAGGCGGCCCUUGGAAACCUGUCUAUGCUUCUGGAUGAACCAACCUAAGUCACAUCACUCCAGAUAUCAUGGAGGAUAUCCAUAUGGUUAUAUGGAAUCAUAGAAACUUGUGGACGGAGGAGACUUAGGGAUUAUCUAGUCCAACCUUCUUGAUUUCAGGUGCUGAUAAUUCCCAGGACUACCACCAGCCUCGCCUUUGUGCUGACAAGACUUCCUGAUACGUCCUCAAGGAUGAUCAAAUGAACUUCAUGACUUGUUUCUGUUUCUGCCCUUGGACGACUUCUGCGGAAAUCAUCUCUAGAUCUUACCUAGUCAAUCCAGGAAAAUCUCUCCUUACACCCUCUGUCUGUUUCAAUUCGGAGGGAGAAAUUGCCUAAUUGGGCCUUGUUCUGUUGCCUCCACCUCCCGGGUUCAAG